GCCGGUCCGCGAGAAUACUUUCCAAACGUAACCGGUCCGUGGUGUAAAAAAGGUUGGAGACCCCUGAUUUAGAGAUACGCUAAUGUAGA